rnacentral:rRNA from 1 species
GACAGAGGGUGCAAACGUUGUUCGGAAUUACUGGGCGUAAAGCGCACGUAGGCGGGUCGUUAAGUCGAGGGUGAAAUCCUGGAGCUCAACUCCAGAACUGCCUUCGAUACUGGCGACCUAGAGUCCGGAAGAGGUGAGUGGAACUCCUAGUGUAGAGGUGGAAUUCGUAGAUAUUAGGAAGAACACCAGUGGCGAAGGCGGCUCACUGGUCCGGUACUGACGCUGAGGUGCGAAAGCGUGGGGAGCAAACAGG